CGGAGGGUGCAAGCGUUAUCCGGAUUCACUGGGUUUAAAGGGUGCGUAGGUGGGCAGGUAAGUCAGUGGUGAAAUCUCCGGGCUUAACCCGGAAACUGCCAUUGAUACUAUCUGUCUUGAAUACCCUGGAGGUGAGCGGAAUAUGUCAUGUAGCGGUGAAAUGCUUAGAUAUGACAUAGAACACCCAUUGCGAAGGCAGCUCACUACGGGAAUAUUGACACUGAGGCACGAAAGCGUGGGGAUCAAACAGGAUUAGAUACCCUGGUAGUCCACGCCCUAAACUAUGGAUACUCGACAUCGGCGAUAAACUGUUGGUGUCUGAGCGAAAGCAUUAAGUAUCCCACCUGGGAAGUACGAUCGCAAGAUUG
rnacentral:rRNA from 1 species